GGUAAGGGGUGAGGGGUGAGGGGAGGAAGCGCUAAAGUGUGUUGAAGAGUCAGGUGGACAGGGGCAUAUGAGGCUUCUGACUUGGAAACUGUGCAAAAAGAAGCCACUGCCCAACUUCCCCAGGAACUGUAUCACCUCCAGAAUGCUUCCAUCCCUCCGGGACCUCCAUCUUCUCCAAGCCCCAACCAUGAAAGAAACUUCCAAAUUAGCAGAUAUCGCUGAGCACCGAAGAUGUUCCAGGCACUGUUGAAGAGGUGUGUGUGACGUGGUAUAGAAAGGGAUGAACAUUCAUACGAGGCCGUAGAAGAUGCAGGUCAUCUGAUGGCAGAACUGCCAGAGAGGUAAAGGGUGCUGACCUGUUUGAUUCCUUUCAUGACAUCCACCCAUUCCUAUGAGUGACUUCCGUAGCAUCACUAACAUGUCAUCUCCAGCUUGCUCUCCAGAAAGAAUGAAUGUGUGGAAGCUGGCAUUUGAUUUCUCCUUGCUGGCUACUGACCCUAUAGAGACAGAUGGACAACAUGGACACUCACUUGGACAUCAGGCUACUGAGACAUGUUGUCAGGUAAUUGGCUGAUCAUACUGUGCCCAAGAGCCAAAGGCUUGAUGGUUCUGGUCAUCUUCCCUAAUUAGAAUGAGAGAGGAUAUGGGAACCCAAACUCAUGGGUCAUCUGAUCCAGGGCUUGCCUAUUUGUAAAGUCAAAGGUCUUCUGUUUAGUUCCUCAGUUCUUUCUCUUGAUUAGAAUCAGGGAAAAGGCUUUUGUCACCCAGGUUUGGAAACACUGUCUCUAAUCUCCACCUGACCAGCCCUGGGUAGGUGGAGGGAUUUUGAACUGAGCAGCCUUGGGUUCUCCAACUGGCAACCAAAACUACAUUCAGGGGCGUUCCUCAGACCCCCACAUUUAAAUAACCUGGAAUGUUUGAAGUAAAUGUAUUUUACUAAUCUGGAAUUAGUAUUUAUUAUGUUGAUGGGGGCAGGAGAAUGAGCAGGGGUAUUUAUGUUUUAAUAAUCCCCUAGGUGAUUCUUAGUAACAUUAAAGUUUGAAAAAAAUUUCCCUAGAGGAUUCUUCUGUAGCUUCAGGUCCAUGAACUUUCUGAGAUUGCCUACACAUUCUGUGUA